GACGAACGCUGGCGGCGUGCUUAACACAUGCAAGUCGAACGGAAAGGCCCUGCUUUUGUGGGGUGCUCGAGUGGCGAACGGGUGAGUAACACGUGAGUAACCUGCCCUUGACUUUGGGAUAACUUCAGGAAACUGGGGCUAAUACCGGAUAGGAGCUCCUGCUGCAUGGUGGGGGUUGGAAAGUUUCGGCGGUUGGGGAUGGACGCGCGGCUUAUCAGCUUGUUGGUGGGGUAGUGGCUUACCAAGGCUUUGACGGGUAGCCGGCCUGAGAGGGUGACCGGCCACCUUGGGACUGAGAUACGGCCCAGACUCCUACGGGAGGCAGCAGUCGGGAAUAUUGCACAAUGGGCGGAAGCCUGAUGCAGCAACGCCGCGUGCGGGAUGACGGCCUUCGGGUUGUAAACCGCUUUAGCCUGUGACGAAGCGUGAGUGACGGUAAUGGGUAAAGAAGCACCGGCUAACUACGUG
rnacentral:rRNA from 1 species